rnacentral:lncRNA from 1 species
CGUUUUGUGGGGUUGGAAUGAAGAGCAAGUGGAUGCUGGUGAAUUGAUCAGGAGGAGCCGUGGGGAACCAGUGAUCAUGCUUGCUAUGGGGUGCAGUUUUAAGAUGCAGGAUUGUAUACCUCUUUAUGAUCUGCGCUUUCAUUUCGGUUCAGUGUUACACAAUGGUUGUGUGUUGUUUCACUUUCAUGCUUUGCUGCUGUCUUUGGUUCUAACUUUUUAAUUAAUUUGUAUUCUGGAGGUAUGGUUAUACUGACGGGGAGCUACGGGUCGAAGUUUUCAAUCAGUCUUGCUAAUCCAGGUGUAUCUGGCUUCCGUAACAAGUAAUUGUUGUUCUUAUCUGUUGAAGUGGCGUUAGUAUAAGCAGUGAUGUGUUCUUGCUGCUUGCUGACAGGGACCUGCAUUUUAGCUCCACUGGGAUGGAAGACGCCACAGUGGCUUAUUUAGCUCAUGUCAUUCCACGUGUGUUUAUGGUAUGGUAUGUGGCUCUUCUCUGGGCGUCUUUAUUAAGAGGGGGAUUGUUUAGAUUGUUGAUCAUCAUUAUCUUGUGCAGCACAAGGCCUUCAGAUGCAAGAUAACUGUGGAGGCUAUACCAUCUAACCAAAAUUAUCGUGUGACCAGUAUAGCUGGAGUUUUUUUUUUUUUUUGAGAAAUACCA